rnacentral:rRNA from 1 species
AACGAACGCUGGCGGCAUGCCUAACACAUGCAAGUCGAACGAGACCUUCGGGUCUAGUGGCGCACGGGUGCGUAACGCGUGGGAACCUGCCCUUAGGUUCGGAAUAACUCCCCGAAAGGGGUGCUAAUACCGGAUAAUGUCUUCGGACCAAAGAUUUAUCGCCCUUGGAUGGGCCCGCGUUGGAUUAGCUAGUUGGUAGGGUAAAAGCCUACCAAGGGGACGAUCCAUAGCUGGUCUGAGAGGAUGAUCAGCCACACUGGGACUGAGACACGGCCCAGACUCCUACGGGAGGCAGCAGUGGGGAAUAUUGGACAAUGGGCGGAAGCCUGAUCGAGCAAUGCCGCGUGAGUGAUGAAGGCCUUAGGGUUGUAAAGCUCUUUUACCCGGGAUGAUAAUGACAGUACCGGGAGAAUAAGCUCCGGCUAACUCCGUG